rnacentral:rRNA from 1 species
CCUACGGGUGGCAGCAGUGGGGAAUAUUGCGCAAUGGGCGAAAGCCUGACGCAGCGACGCCGCGUGAGGGAUGAAGGUCUUAGGAUCGGAAACCUCUGUCAGCAGGGAAGAAAGGUCACUGGGCUAAUCAGCAGUGAAUUGACGGUACCUGCAAAGGAAGCACCGGCUAACUCCGUGCCAGCAGCCGCGGUAAUACGGAGGGUGCGAGUGUUAAUCGGAAUUACUGGGCGUAAAGGGAUCGUAGGCGGUAUGUCAAGUCAUGGGUGAAAUCGCCGCGCUCAACGUGGGAACUGCCUUUGAAACUGGCAAACUGGAGUGUGUGAGAGGAUAGUGGAAUUCCAGGUGUAGGAGUGAAAUCCGUAGAUAUCUGGAGGAACAUCAGUGGCGAAGGCGACUAUCUGGCACAUAACUGACGCUGAGGAGCGAAAGCGUGGGUAGCAAACAGGAUUAGAUACCCUUGUAGUC